rnacentral:rRNA from 1 species
CCUACGGGUGGCAGCAGUCGAGAAUCAUUCACAAUGGGGGAAACCCUGAUGGUGCGACGCCGCGUGGGGGAAUGAAGGUCUUCGGAUUGUAAACCCCUGUCAUGUGGGAGCAAAUUAAAAAGAUAGUACCACAAGAGGAAGAGACGGCUAACUCUGUGCCAGCAGCCGCGGUAAUACAGAGGUCUCAAGCGUUGUUCGGAAUCACUGGGCGUAAAGCGUGCGUAGGCUGUUUCGUAAGUCGUGUGUGAAUGGCGAGGGCUCAACCCGCGGACGGCACAUGAUACUGCGAGACUAGAGUAAUGGAGGGGGAACCGGAAUUCUCGGUGUAGCAGUGAAAUGCGUAGAUAUCGAGAGGAACACUCGUGGCGAAGGCGAGUUCCUGGACAUUAACUGACGCUGAGGCACGAAGGCCAGGGGAGCGAAAGGGAUUAGAUACCCCGGUAGUC